GCAAACUUGGUCAUUUAGAGGAAGUAAAAGUCGUAACAAGGUAACCGUAGGUGAACCUGCGGUUGGAUCAUUAACAAAUUCAAUCAAACGAGUCAGCUUCGGCUGUUCUCGAUUGUACCCAUGUGAACUGUUUUGUCUCUGGUGGGUAAAGUGUCUCUUUGAGAUAGGAACUUGUUCCACCCACCGAUUUUAAACUUGAUUUAUAUUUGACUUUAAAAGUAUUGUUUAAUAAUAAACAACUUUUGGCAACGGAUCUCUUGGCUCUCGCAUCGAUGAAGAACGCAGC
rnacentral:misc_RNA from 1 species